ACAUACGGCCAUAGACAGCAGAAAGCUCGGGAUCCCGUCCGCUCUCCCCUAGAUAAGCUGCUGAUCGCAGGAUUAGUACUCAGGUCGGUGACGACUGGGGAAUCCCCUGUGCUGUAUGUU
rfam:Thielavia terrestris NRRL 8126 chromosome 1, complete sequence.